UACGUAGGGGGCAAGCGUUGUUCGGAAUUACUGGGCGUAAAGGGCGCGUAGGCGGCGCAGCAAGUCGGGAGUGAAAGCCCGGGGCUCAACCCCGGAACUGCUUUCGAAACUGCUGAGCUAGAGUACAGAAGGGGCAACCGGAAUUCCCAGUGUAGCGGUGAAAUGCGCAGAUAUCAGGAGGAACACCGGUGGCGAAGGCGGAUCUCUGGGCCGAUACUGACGCUGAGGAGCGAAAGCGUGGGGAGCGAACAGG
rnacentral:rRNA from 1 species